rnacentral:lncRNA from 1 species
UAAAAUACAAUAACUAAUCGUCAUUAAAAUCAACAUCCCUUAAAUAUAUAAUAAUAGUCAUAGCAAAAAAGGUCUAUAAAAUCAACAACAAAAAGCAUUGUCUAGCAGCAAUAGCCAUAAUAGCAAAAACUACAUCUAAGGUUUUCCUCUUCCACAACAACCUACUCAGAUUCUUCAAGGUUUGGGUUUUCUGUGAGCGAUCGAUUUGUUCCUCCUCUGUUUGAAUUGGAGAAUGGAGGAGCUUUGUGGAGUUGUUGUGCUUUGGGAAUGUUGUGUAGGCACAUGAGGAGGUUCUGAUUCUUCCACAUUUUGUGAAACUUGUUGUUGCUGCAUUUGCACAUUGUCCACAUUUUGAGCAGCCUCUUGCUGGGCAUUCUCCUCAUUUUGAGCAACCUCUUGUUGUGCGGCUUGCGCUGCCUAAAAACCAAAUACCAUACAAUAAUCUCAGCACCACAUUUAACACAAGUUAUAAGCUAUUUAUACAAUCACUCAUAACUAUCUCUUUACACCAUAUUUAUAAGAAUUUAUAAUAUCAUCACCAUUCAUAACAACAAAUUUAACACAAGAUAAAGAAAAAUAAGGCCUAAAAACCAUACUUGUUGCCUUCUUAAGCAGGUCCUACUGUUGUGGCCUUCCUUCCCAUAUUUUCCACAACUAAUUUGUGUGUAAUAUGCCUUAGACAACUUAUCUGCACCAGGUGGUGGGGCUGCUUCACCUUUUUAACCAGUCACAGAGAAAUAUAUUCCUUAUAUAUAUGAACAUAAACAACAAGAAAUUAAAAAAAAAAAUAC